CUGACUCUUGAAUAAGUCCUUGAGGUUUUAAAAAGUUGAGGCGCAGUCUGUUAACGUCCUGGUGGCCAAGUAAUUGGAAGCCAGCUGCAAUACCUGAAGUUGGCCAUGGUCACAGAUUGACAGGUAUAUGGUAUACUGCCUGCCACAUUUUACCUCCUCAGUUCCCUCCCAGAGGAAACUGGAUCUGGCAUAAACAACAGCGCUCACCUAACACUGACACUGUGCCAAGUGUUUCACGGUUGUCUACUCCUUUGUCUUCAAAGCUGCUUGUAAGGGAGAUUGUUGGCUGGAGAGAGAGAUUGCUCCACCAAAGGACUCACAUUAGGUUGCCAGCACCCACGUCAGGUGCUUCACAACCAUCUGCAACACGUAGGAGAUCCAGUACCUCUGCGCUCUGGGCACUCACACAGAUGUGGCAUAUACAUGAUUUAAAAUAAAGUUUUUAAGAAAAAAA
rnacentral:lncRNA from 1 species